rnacentral:misc_RNA from 1 species
GUGAAUCAUCGAAUCUUUGAACGCACCUUGCGCUCCAUGGCAUUCCGUGGAGCAUGCCUGUUUGAGUGCCGCGAAAUCUCCCACCCCUAGCGGUUGCCGCAAGGCGCCGCCGGGCGGCGGGGUUGGUUGGGUGCCGCUGCCUGGGCUUUGGCCCAGGCUCGCCCGAAAUGCAUGAGCGCUUAGCACUCGCACCGUCUCGAGGGAAGGCGGCGGAGCUGGCAUCUGCGCAUGGCAUGAUACGUCAUUUGCUGUGUGGCAGCCCAGCGACCCGAGAGUGUGUGUGCGCUACUACACGCCCUU